UACGUAGGGGGCAAGCGUUGUCCGGAAUCAUUGGGCGUAAAGAGCGUGUAGGCGGUUCGGUAAGUCGGCUGUGAAAGUCCAGGGCUCAACCCUGGGAUGCCGGUCGAUACUGCCGGACUAGAGUUCGGAAGAGGCGAGUGGAAUUCCCGGUGUAGCGGUGAAAUGCGUAGAGAUCAGGAGGAACACCAGUGGCGAAGGCGGCCCGCUGGCUCGCCCCUGACGCUGAGGCGCGAAAGCGUGGGGAGCGAACGGG
rnacentral:rRNA from 1 species